rnacentral:rRNA from 1 species
AGAGUUUGAUCCUGGCUCACAACGAACGCUCUUAUCAGGCCUAGUACAUGCGAGUCCAGCGCAUCCUUCCGGAUGAGCGGCGGACGGAUGAGUAUCGCGUGGGAAUAUGCCCUUCUCUAACGAAUAGCCUCAGGAAACUGACAGUAAUACCUUAUACGCCCUUCAGGGGAAAGAUUUAUCGCAUAAGGAUUAGCCCGCGAUACAUUACGUAGUUGGUGGGGUAAUGGGCUACCAAGCCUACGAUCUAGACCUGGUUUGAGAGGAUGAUCAGCCACACUGGGGCUGAUGACACAGUCCACACUCCUACGGGAGGCAUCACUAUGGAAUCUUACACAAUGGGGGAAACGCCUGAUCUAGCCAUGCCGGCGUGUGUGAUGAAGGCCUUAGGGUCGUUGAGCACUUUCGCCAAACAUGAUAAUGACAGUAUCUGGUACAGAAACGCCGGCUAAGUCCGUGCCAGCACCCGCGGUAAUACGGAUGGGGUGAGCGUUGUUCGGAAUUACUGGGCGUAUAGCGCACGUAGGCGGAUUACUAAGUUAAGGGUGAGAUCCCAGGGCUCUAGCCCUGCAACUGCCUUUAAUACUGCUAGUCUUGAGUUCAAGAGACGUAAGUGGAAUUCCGAGUGUACAGGUGAAAGUCACACAUAUUUGGAGGAACACCAAUGGCUGAAGGCUGCUUACUGGCUCGAAACUGACGCUGAGGUGCGAUAGUGUGUGAUCAAACAGGAUAGCAUACUCAGGUAGUGCACGCAGUCAGUGAUGAACGCCAGACGUCAGCAAUUAUACGAGUAUGUGUCACACUUAACUGACUAAUCAGUAUUCCUGGGGAGUAUGUUGACAAGAUUAAUAGUCAUAGGAAUUGCAGUGGCACCGCACAAGCGGGUGGAUCAUGUGUUUUAAUUAGUAGUAACGCGCAGAGCGUUAUCAACCCAGGACAUCCUGUGAUAGUUCCAGAGAUGGUAAGUUCCGUUCGGGGAGGCAGUGACAGAUCCUGCAUGUCUGUAGUCAAUUCGGGUAGUGUGAUGUCUGGUUAAGUCGGGCAACGAGCGCAAGCCACAUAUUCAGCUUGCCAGCAGGUUAAGAUGGGCAUUCUAGACAAACUGUAAGUGUAUAAGCGGGAGGAAUGGUGUGGAGGAUGUCAAGUCUUCAUCACCCUCAGGGGGUGGGAUCCUCAUGUGAUACAAUGGCAGUAUCAAUGGGUUAAUACCACAAAACUGUAUCAGUUAGGAUAGGGGUCUGCAACUAGUCCCCAUGAAGUAGGUAUCUCUAGUAAUGGGGUAACAACAUGACGCGGUGAAUAUGUUGCCGGUCUUCGUACACGAAGCCCGUCACACCAUGGGAGUUGGUUCUAUCCGACGAUGAUGCGCAAAGCCUUGGUGGAGGCACGACGUCCAAGGUAGGAUCAGAGAGUGGGGUGAAGUCGUAACAAGGUAACC